AGUGGCCUCUCUAUCCCUUUUCACGUUAGUAUUGUAUGCUCUACCAGUAUGCUGUGACUAUACGGAUUUUGGCGGAGUUGGGGAGGCACAGCA
rnacentral:pre_miRNA from 1 species